UUUACCGAUGCAAGAGAAUUUCUACAUUAGUGCGUGUGCUAUUUGAAAAAAUAUGUUUCUUAAAGAUGGCUGUGGACUCAUCUGUAAAUUAAUAACCUUGCUUUAAAAAAUCUUCCUUAUUACUUUAAGUCCUUUUGAGAUUCCCCUGAAGAUAUCUUGAAAGAUUUUCUUCCCUUCCCCAUAUCUCCUCCCAUCCUUACUAAGGAACAGCUGGGUCCAUUUAAAAUUGAUUUCAAUCUCUCAAAGCAGGAUUUGAUUUCUCCAAGCUUCCGCCUGGAAAGUGCACAGUGUCGCAGCCACCCCGAGAUAUCAGCUGGCAGAGCUCGAGCCUGGCAGAGAACAAGUGGGGCAGGCACGAGCACGGGGCAGCAGAGGGAUUUCCAGCGUGAGGGUGCUGGGGUUUGCUGGCCGCCUGCAGUUCAAGCGGUGAGACGUUCCCCGUGGCACUGGCUCUCCAUCCCACACCCCGACACGUUCCCAACCCCAAAUCCGCCUGCGCUCUCAGCCUGCUUUGGAGAUACGGGUCACCCCCAAAACCAUGGAAAGGUCCUGGUCAUUGCUCCGCCAACAAAACUGCUUUCAGGAAAGAAGGACUAAAAAUAUCGCCAGGGUGUGCAUUCAGAGUGCGAUGCUUGAGGAUCGGUUUUGGAUUGUGCUGACUCCCAUUCCCAUUUUUUGCUGAAAUCCUCAAAAUUGGGAUGAAAUGAAGCAUUAGGAAACGAACUGGGCCUCGUUCCCUUCCUUCUGUUAGUUUUGAAUUAACAAAAAAUUAAAUUAAGAGCUAAUUAAAUCGACAAAAUUAGAAACGUAUUAUUUCCCAAAAUUACUUUGCUUUUUCUUUUUUUUAAUUCCAGCUUUCACCAGGCGCUUGACAGCUAUGCAGCAAAUCUGUGUCCCUAAGGGAUGGGAGUCCCUGGCCACGCAGACGAGGCACAGAGAGGUCGGGAAUGUCUCCUAAGGACACACGGGAAACCUGAGUCAACACCAACAAGUCCCAAAUCUCCAUUCAGCCUUAGCUACACUCAGCAUCUUUUCAGGUGGUGCAAGAGCAGCCUUGAAAACCUGAAAAAAAACCUCAAUUUUGAGCAACAUAUUGUAGUAGUAGCAUCACAUCCAGGCAGGCUAUUUCUCAAGAAUAUGUGGAUGGCACAAACAUGGAUGAAGAUUUGAGAAUACUGCUCAUCAUCUUUGCUCUUGUUUCAACCUAAGGAGUGCAGUAAAGGGAAUAUGAGAUGGUUUGGGAGAUCAAAAAGGGCUGAGUAGCACGCAGACACUGUUCAGGCCUUCCAAACACUUUAAUUUGCUAUUCAGAUUACCACUUUUUAUAGUUUAAUAUGUACAAUAUGCAAAGGAACCAGUUUAACUAAAUGGGAAAGGCCUUUUGUGUUAAGGAUGAAUGUAAUCUAAUACGGCCCUUUGACUUGAUUCAAUUAAAUCCUUUCUUUUCCAAUUAAAUAAUCAGCCAGAAUUUAAUAAAAAUGAAUUUCAAUGUGUCAGCCUGCAGAAUGAUGACCUCUGAGAUGGUGAAGGCUUAUGUAAAUUCUGCUGAUCGCUUUUUAUCUGCUUGUGUCUCACUUCCACCAAAAAAAAAUAAUUGCCUUCUGUUGGUAUAUUUACAUUAUUUUCUCAUCUGCACUAUGUAUCUCUGCUUACAGUAACAAUUCUCAGCUGAAAACCAGGCCGUGAGUGUCACCAGCUCCUUUUCAGCACGUCCUCUAAAACCCACCUUCUGUGACUGGAAAGAGAGAUCACCAAAGAUGGGAUUUUUGAUCUGUGCCUCUAUUUUGUUACACCCUGGCAUGCUGCGGUGUGAAGAGUGGCAAUUUGGCCCUUUCCAAAUGUCACCAGAGACAUCUGGGUGGCCAUUCAUCCCCAAAGAAAAGCUCACCAACAAAAUCCAGUCCGAGACACCAGCAAACUUUAGGAGCAACCACCAGAAAAAGCACAGCAUGCCCCGGGUUCAGGAGUCUCUUGUAGCACAUCCCUGCGAAGUAAUUUCCAUCCAAGUUACAAUAGUUGUUAAUCUCUACCGUGGUUUUUUUUCCGCUACAAAGGUCACAUUUUUAUUUGUGUAUUUAUAACUGCAUUUGACCCCCCCCUUCUCCCCCUUAAAAUACUGAGCACCGACUCUUUUCUUCCUCAGCUGGAGUAUACGGCAGCAUCUCAACACAAACCUUGCUGAGGUGUUACUGCUGCAGUGCAGCUGGUACACUAGUGCUUUAGUUAAAAAGUUAUUAAAAUGAGAUUAAACAGAGCUAAGGAUGGGUGGGUUAAAAAUGUGGGUGAAUAUCCUGGUUUUCCACGUGAUGCUGCAGUGACACGUUUCCCCAUCUCUGUUUCUGUGCAGGUGAAAGGGUCCCAGUGACCUUCCUGUGCUGCACGUCCCUUGGGACCACGAAAACAAACCCAUUCAUGUUUAUAAAGUGUCUGGGACCGGGGGAAUUACAUCACCGCGGCAAGAUACAAGUUUAAUGGAUCAAAACAAACCCCAGAUCCAACCCCCCCAACUUAGACAAGGCUCAGUUACCCGGCGCAAACCUUGAGGAAUCCCACUGAGAAGGGAUAAUUGAGAGAAAAAUGCGAUCCCAGAGAUUUUUCUCCAGUGAACCUGUUUUACGUUAAUAGGAAGCAGAUUUCUAGACCCCUUGCAAACAAAUGACUUCCACAGCAUAUUUCACAGCUGAGCGCAUCUAUGGCACCAGUCUUUAUAUGCAGCUCUAUUAAACCCAACAUUUGUUUAAUGAAUUACAGCAAUCUAAUGAAUCUGGGUACGUUCUGCCUAUAUUUAAGUGUUUAUGGGGACGACGUCAGCAGCCAGCUUCUCACAAGCAGGUAUUGGUGUCAGUGAUGAGCUCCCGCUGCAACAUACCCAAAACUUUUAAUAUUCUGGGGGUUCUGCUUUCUUGACUAUUGUGGGCAGUUGAUUACUGCUCAGUUUUAUGAAUGUUAAAUGCAGGAGUUCCAAGGUCUCUGCUUUAACUGAAAACUGUUUGGAUUCAGUGCAGAUUUGGGGGAGGUUGUCCCCACUGAUGUCUGUCAUCUGAGAGAUAUAAACUGUGGCACAUCUCCCACCUGGCCCGGGUUGGUCCAUGCAACUGAAAGGUGAAUGAAGCCAUUAAAACUCACAGUCAAUCGUGGUUGACAUGCUACAGCUAUUUCCAGGAUGACCUCAUCUUCAUCUCACGGGACGGAAAUCAAACGAAGAUGUCAAAACAGCGCUACCUCUGCCUUAGGCAAAAAGGAGACACGGUGACCCCCAAGUCCUUCCAAACGUGAGCUUAGCUUGUGUGAAGAGAAAGCAUCUCCGGCAUCAUCAUAAUUAAAGGCAGCGCUAGAUGAAAGAUGAGCAAGAAAAAUCAGAGGAAAAUAAUGGUGCCACCGAGGUGAUGCUUGUAUUGGAGUGGAAAGCUGCGAUUAGGCGAACAUGAGAAGCAAAAGAGGAACCUGAUGAGGCAAACCAAGAGAAACCAGCACUGGGGACUCUGUCACUGAAACCGCCGCCUGAAGGUUCAGUGGCCUGGGGCCAGGGGCACCCGCUCAAACGAAAUUGUUUCCAAGUAAGCUCGAGCUGCUUUUGAAUGGCAUUUGAGAUCCAGAGGCUUGGAAAGGGGAAGAGCAGGAAAUCGGCACUGCAGAGGGGGAAGAGCUCAUGCAA